CCUACGGGAGGCAGCAGUGAGGAAUAUUGGUCAAUGGACGAGAGUCUGAACCAGCCAAGUAGCGUGAAGGAUGACUGCCCUAUGGGUUGUAAACUUCUUUUAUAAAGGAAUAAAAAGAGGCACGUGUGACUUUUUGCAUGUACUUUAUGACUAAGUAUCGGCUAACUCCGUGCCAGCAGCCGAGGUAAUACGGAGGAUCCGAGCGUUAUCCGGAUGUAUUGGGUUUAAAGGGAGCGUAGAUGGAUUGUUAAGUCAGUUGUGAAAUUUUGCGGCUCAACCGUACAAUUGCAAUUGAUACUGGCAGUCUUGAGUACAGUUGAGGUAGGCGGAAUUCGUGGUGUAGCGGUGAAAUGCUUAGAUAUCACGAAGAACCCCGAUUGCGAAGGCAGCUUACUAAACUGUGACUGACAUUGAUGCUCGAAAGUGUGGGUAUCAAACAGGAUUAGAUACCCCAGUAGUC
rnacentral:rRNA from 1 species